GGUGCCAGCAGCCGCGGUAAUUCCAGCUCCAAUAGCGUAUAUUAAAGUUGUUGCAGUUAAAAAGCUCGUAGUUGGAUUUCUGUUGUAUAAUCUAUAAUAUUACUAAGGUAUAUAUUAUAUUAUCAACAUCCUUCCUAUUAUAUUUCUAAAUAUAUAGGAAACUUUACUUUGAGAAAAUUAGAGUGCUUAAAGCAGGCAACUGCCUUGAAUACUCCAGCAUGGAAUAAUAAGUAAGGACUUUUGUCUUUCUUAUUGGUUCUAGGACAAAAGUAAUGGUUAAUAGGGACAGUUGGGGGCAUUCGUAUUUAACAGCCAGAGGUGAAAUUCUUAGAUUUGUUAAAGACGAACUACUGCGAAAGCAUUUGCCAAGGAUGUUUUCAUUAAUCAAGAACGAAAGUUAGGGGAUCGAAGACGAUCAGAUACCGUCGUAGUCUUAACCAUAAACUAUGCCGACUAGAGAUUGGAGGUUGUUCCUUACUCCU
rnacentral:rRNA from 1 species